GACGAACUGUCCUAACGUUGUUCGGAAUCACUGGGCUUAAAGGGCGCGUAGGCGGUCCGUCAAGUCAGGGGUGAAAUCCUGCAGCUUAACUGUAGAAGUGCCUCUGAUACUGACGGUCUUGAGGGAGAUAGGGGUGUGCGGAACUUCCAGUGGAGCGGUGAAAUGCGUUGAUAUUGGAAGGAACGCCGGAGGCGAAAGCGGCGCACUGGAUCUCUUCUGACGCUGAGGCGCGAAAGCCAGGGAGGCAAACGGG
rnacentral:rRNA from 1 species